GGCGAGUGGGCGUGGCUCCGGCUGCCCGGUGGGCUGUCAGCGUGUGUCCUGGUCAGAAGACCAGAAGCAGCCAGCAAAUAGUAAACUGAGGGUGCAUUUUAAAAAGAAAAAAAGUCAAGAGAGAAAUCACGCAUACGGAAUAUUUAUUGAAAGAAAUGAUGAACGUAAAGUCAAAUAGUGAGCCAGGCAGGAUCUGAGGCAGGAAGAUUGCAAGUUAGAGCGGAGGACAGUUUACCAACCUAGCGAGACCCUGUGUCAAGAUAGAUAGAUAAACAGACAGACGGAAAUGUAGCUAAUAGUCCUGGUUUCAAUCCUCAGUACUGAGGGGAGGAAAGAGGCAUUAACAAAAAUGAAAAUUAGUUCAUUGGUUUUCUUUACCGUGGCUUUGAAGCUAGAAGGAUGAAGAGCUGACUCUCCAAACAUUGGACCAAAGAAACACCCUGUGUCGAGUCUCAGUAAGGAACCAGAGAGGAAAGAAAGGCACCAUGCUGAGAGCAGAUUUCCUUGGCGAGGCCCCUCUGCCAGCCCCUGCCUGAGAGCCAGCCGGUUAAGGACUGGAACCCUACACUCUGAAAUGUUCUCAGAUGUGAACACUCCAGACUCCACACAUACAUGGAAUUGAGCUGGCGAAUCUCACCGAGCCAGCACGCACACCAGGAAGGACAGCGUAUACAAAACACACAGGGCCUGCGAACCACAGACCCGGCACCUUGCUGUCCCUCUGAGGCCGACAGCAGUUGCCCCUGGGAAAUUUUCUCUUUCCCAAUGCUGUGUGACCUUGGAAUCAGGCUUGCUUUCUUGCUUUCAUUCGUUCUUUCUCUUUUUUAUCAUUAUUGCUCCAUCCACGUGCAAAGCCCCUAGUGAUGCCAUUUGGAACAUUUUUGGCCUUCAUUCUAUUUUACUUUAAGAACCAGAUUCAGCUUAAGUUUUUUUUUUUGUUUGUUUGUUUUUUCAAUGCAGCUCUCUUAGCAAGAGGGUGAAACAGCUGGUUUCUGUUAUUUGUUUUGUGGAAUUUUCAGCAGAUUCAAGGUUCAAACACAAAAGAAGAUUUGUAAUGCUGUUGCCUUAAUGAUGAUGGUGCCGGUAAUGACAGUAUCUCAUUUUGUAGCAUAUUAUCCAGAUGAUCUCCCUCACUCCUCAUAACUCUAGGAGAAAUUUAUUAUAGUCUGCACCAUGCAUGGUCAAACAUAAGCCAAGAAGUUCUUCUAAGCAGAGAAUUGGAAGGCAGAAUAAUGCCAGCCGAUAAAGGACAAUUAUGUUGUUUUUCCCUGAGUGCCACAUUAACACACAAAUGUUCAAGUAAAUUCGGUUUCCUAGUUUUUCUACCAGGUUCACAUAGCAACAAGAACACAUAUCUCGUGCACUGAAAAAUAAAAAUUGUGACAUGCUUUAAA